AGAGUUUGAUCCUGGCUCAGGAUGCUUUGCUGGCGGCAUGCCUAAUACAUGCAAGUCGAACGAGGGUCCUUCGGGACUCGAGUGGCGAACGGGUGAGUAACACGUAGGGAACCUGCCCGUGCGACCGGGAGAACAUUCGGAAACGGAAGCUGAUACCGGAUAGGGACAGAGACGGCAUCGACUCUGUGUUAAAGGAGCUGAAAGGCUCCGCGCACGGAUGGACCUGCGGUGCAUUAGCUAGUUGGUGAGGUAACGGCCCACCAAGGCGACGAUGCAUAGCCGGCCUGAGAGGGCGGACGGCCACACUGGGACUGAGACACGGCCCAGACUCCUACGGGAGGCAGCAGUAGGGAAUUUUCGUCAAUGGGCGCAAGCCUGAACGAGCAAUGCCGCGUGAACGAGGAAGGUCUUCGGAUCGUAAAGUUCUGUUGAAGGGGAAAAAGAGCGGAGAGAGGAAAUGGUCUCCGAUUGAUAUUACCCUUCGAGGAAGUCACGGCUAACUACGUGCCAGCAGCCGCGGUAAUACGUAGGUGGCGAGCGUUAUCCGGAAUGAUUGGGCGUAAAGGGUGCGUAGGCGGCCUGCUAAGUCUGGAGUGAAAGGUACCGGCUCAACCGGUACAGGCUCUGGAAACUGGCGGGCUAGAGAGCAGGAGAGGGCGGUGGAACUCCAUGUGUAGCGGUAAAAUGCGUAGAUAUAUGGAAGAACACCAGUGGCGAAGGCGGCCGCCUGGCCUGGUUACUGACGUGGAGGCGAGAAAAGCGUGGGAGAGCAAAUAGGAUUAGAUACCCUAGUAGUCCACGCCGUAAACGAUGAGGACCAAGUGUUGGGGAAGACCCAGUGCUGCAGUUAACGCAGUGAGUCCUCCGCCUGGGGAGUAUGCACGCAAGUGUGAAACUCAAAGGAAUUGACGGGGGCCCGCACAAGCGGUGGAGUAUGUGGUUUAAUUAGAAGCAACGCGAAGCACCUUCCCAGGCCUUGACAUAGGGUGCGAAGGUAUAGAGAUAUACUGGAGGUAAACAUCCAUACAGGUGGUGCAUGGUUGUUGUCAGCUCGUGUCGUGAGAUGUUCAGUUAAGUCUGGCAACGAGCGCAACCCUCGUGAUGUGUUACCAAUAUCGAGUUAGGGACUCACACCAGACUGCCGGUGACAAACCGGAGGAAGGCGGGGAUGACGUCAAAUCAUCAUGCCCCUUAUGGCCUGGGCUACAUACGUACUACAAUGGCGGCUACAAAGAGCAGCGAGACAGGGAUGUCGAGCGAAUCUCAUAAAAGCCGUCCCAGUUCGGAUUGGAGGCUGCAACCCGCCUCCAUGAAGUUGGAAUCGCUAGUAAUCGCGGAUCAGCAUGCCGCGGCGAAUACGUUCCCGGGCCUUGUACUCACCGCCCGUCA
rnacentral:rRNA from 1 species